rnacentral:rRNA from 1 species
UACGGUAGGGUGCGAGCGUUAAUCGGAAUUACUGGGCGUAAAGCGUGCGUAGGCGGUUCGUUUAAGUCAGCUGUGAAAGCCCCGGGCUCAACCUGGGAACUGCGGUUGAAACUGGCGAACUAGAAUCUGGCAGAGGGGUGGAAUUCCACGUGUAGCAGUGAAAUGCGUAGGAGAAUGUGGAGGAACACCGAUGGCGAAGGCAGCCCCUGGGCUGAGAUUGACGCUCAGGCACGAAAGCCGUGGGGAGCAAACAGG